rnacentral:rRNA from 1 species
CCUACGGGAGGCAGCAGUGAGGAAUAUUGGUCAAUGGACGCGAGUCUGACCCAGCAAAGUAGCGUGAAGGAUGACUGCCCUAUGGGUUGUAACCUUCUUUUAUAAGGGAAUACAACGAGCCACGUGUGCCUUUUUGCAUGUACUUUAUGACUAAGGAUCGGCUAACUCCGUGCCAGCAGCGGAGGUAAUACGGGGGAUCCGAGCGUUAUCCGGAUUUAUUGGGUUAAAGGGGUGCGUAGGCGGAUUUUUAAGGCAGCGGGAAAAUGGCCGGGCUCAACCCGGGCCGGCCGUUGAAACUGGGGUUCUUGAGUGGGCGAGAAGUAAGCGGAAUGCGUUGUGUAGCGGUGAAAUGCAUAGAUAUCACGCAGAACUCCGAUGGCGAAGGCAGCAGACCGGCGCCCGACUGACGCUGAGGCACGAAAGCGUGGGGAUCGAACAGGAUUAGAUACCCCAGUAGUC